UACGUAGGGGGGCAAGCGUUGUCCGGAUUUAUUGGGCGUAAAGAGCGUGUAGGCGGCUAGAUAGGUCCGUUGUGAAAACUCGAGGCUCAACCUCGAGACGUCGAUGGAAACCAUCUGGCUAGAGUCCGGAAGAGGAGAGUGGAAAUUCCUGGUGUAGCGGUGAAAUGCGCAGAUAUCAGGAAGAACACCCGUGGCUAAGGCGGCUCUCUAGUACGGUACUGACGCUGAGACGCGAAAGCGUGGGGAGCGAACAGG
rnacentral:rRNA from 1 species